GGCCGAGGUGUAAUAUAAUACUGAAUAAUAUAUAUAAAUCAUUUAAUAAUUACAUCAUGAAAGCCAAGGAUAAGCCAAUUAUCACUUGUCUGAAGACCAUUAGAAGACUUAUGAUACAAAAGUUCUAAAUAAAAAGGUAGGCUACAUUGAAGUACAAUGGUCCUAUAUUUCCUAAGAUUCAAAAGAAAGUAAAGUUAGCAAAUCUAUAAGCCACGUAGUGCCAUAUCAUAUGGGCUGGAGGCAGCAGUUUUAAGAUGGACCAUUAUAAUUGUA
rnacentral:lncRNA from 1 species